rnacentral:rRNA from 1 species
AGGGAAAGGUGAAAAGCACCCCGGAAGGGGAGUGAAAGAGAUCCUGAAACCGUGUGCCUACAAAUAGUCAGAGCCCGUUAAUGGGUGAUGGCGUGCCUUUUGUAGAAUGAACCGGCGAGUUACGAUCCCGUGCAAGGUUAAGCUGAAGAGGCGGAGCCGCAGCGAAAGCGAGUCUGAAUAGGGCGUUUAGUACGUGGUCGUAGACCCGAAACCAGGUGAUCUACCCAUGUCCAGGGUGAAGUUCAGGUAACACUGAAUGGAGGCCCGAACCCACGCACGUUGAAAAGUGCGGGGAUGAGGUGUGGGUAGCGGAGAAAUUCCAAUCGAACCUGGAGAUAGCUGGUUCUCCCCGAAAUAGCUUUAGGGCUAGCCUUAAGUGUAAGAGUCUUGGAGGUAGAGCACUGAUUGAACUAGGGGUCCUCAUCGGAUUACCGAAUUCAGUCAAACUCCGAAUGCCAAUGACUUAUCCUUAGGAGUCAGACUGCGAGUGAUAAGAUCCGUAGUCAAGAGGGAAACAGCCCAGAUCGCCAGCUAAGGUCCCAAAGUGUGUAUUAAGUGGAAAAGGAUGUGGAGUUGCUUAGACAACUAGGAUGUUGGCUUAGAAGCAGCCACCAUUUAAAGAGUGCGUAAUAGCUCACUAGUCGAGUGACUCUGCGCCGAAAAUGUACCGGGGCUAAAUACACCACCGAAGCUGCGAAUUGAUACCAAUGGUAUCAGUGGUAGGGGAGCGUUCUAAGUGCAGUGAAGUCAGACCGGAAGGACUGGUGGAGCGCUUAGAAGUGAGAAUGCCGGUAUGAGUAGCGAAAGACGGGUGAGAAUCCCGUCCACCGAAUGCCUAAGGUUUCCUGAGGAAGGCUCGUCCGCUCAGGGUUAGUCAGGACCUAAGCCGAGGCCGACAGGCGUAGGCGAUGGACAACAGGUUGAUAUUCCUGUACCACCUCUUUAUCGUUUGAGCAAUGGAGGGACGCAGAAGGAUAGAAGAAGCGUGCGAUUGGUUGUGCACGUCCAAGCAGUUAGGCUGAUAAGUAGGCAAAUCCGCUUAUCGUAAAGGCUGAGCUGUGAUGGGGAAGCUCCUUAUGGAGCGAAGUCUUUGAUUCCCCGCUGCCAAGAAAAGCUUCUAGCGAGAUAAAAGGUGCCUGUACCGCAAACCGACACAGGUAGGCGAGGAGAGAAUCCUAAGGUGUGCGAGAGAACUCUGGUUAAGGAACUCGGCAAAAUGACCCCGUAACUUCGGGAGAAGGGGUGCUUUCUUAACGGAAAGCCGCAGUGAAUAGGCCCAAGCGACUGUUUAGCAAAAACACAGCUCUCUGCGAAGCCGUAAGGCGAAGUAUAGGGGGUGACACCUGCCCGGUGCUGGAAGGUUAAGGAGAGGGGUUAGCGUAAGCGAAGCUCUGAACUGAAGCCCCAGUAAACGGCGGCCGUAACUAUAACGGUCCUAAGGUAGCGAAAUUCCUUGUCGGGUAAGUUCCGACCCGCACGAAAGGUGUAACGAUUUGGGCACUGUCUCAACCAGAGACUCGGUGAAAUUAUAGUACCUGUGAAGAUGCAGGUUACCCGCGACAGGACGGAAAGACCCCGUGGAGCUUUACUGUAGCCUGAUAUUGAAUUUUGGUACAGUUUGUACAGGAUAGGCGGGAGCCAUUGAAACCGGAGCGCUAGCUUCGGUGGAGGCGCUGGUGGGAUACCGCCCUGACUGUAUUGAAAUUCUAACCUACGGGUCUUAUCGACCCGGGAGACAGUGUCAGGUGGGCAGUUUGACUGGGGCGGUCGCCUCCUAAAGUGUAACGGAGGCGCCCAAAGGUUCCCUCAGAAUGGUUGGAAAUCAUUCGUAGAGUGCAAAGGCAUAAGGGAGCUUGACUGCGAGACCUACAAGUCGAGCAGGGACGAAAGUCGGGCUUAGUGAUCCGGUGGUUCCGCAUGGAAGGGCCAUCGCUCAACGGAUAAAAGCUACCCCGGGGAUAACAGGCUUAUCUCCCCCAAGAGUCCACAUCGACGGGGAGGUUUGGCACCUCGAUGUCGGCUCAUCGCAUCCUGGGGCUGUAGUCGGUCCCAAGGGUUGGGCUGUUCGCCCAUUAAAGCGGUACGCGAGCUGGGUUCAGAACGUCGUGAGACAGUUCGGUCCCUAUCCGUCGUGGGCGUAGGAAAUUUGAGAGGAGCUGUCCUUAGUACGAGAGGACCGGGAUGGACGCACCGCUGGUGUACCAGUUGUUCUGCCAAGGGCAUAGCUGGGUAGCUAUGUGCGGAAGGGAUAAGUGCUGAAAGCAUCUAAGCAUGAAGCCCCCCUCAAGAUGAGAUUUCCCAUAGCGUAAGCUAGUAAGAUCCCUGAAAGAUGAUCAGGUUGAUAGGUUCGAGGUGGAAGCAUGGUGACAUGUGGAGCUGACGAAUACUAAUAGAUCGAGGACUUAACCAU